rnacentral:rRNA from 1 species
UUGUUUAUGAGUACAGAUGCAGGUUGAGACGGCAGCACGAUAAACGCUAUGCUUACUUGGUGGCGACCGGCGCACGGGUGCGUAACGCGUAUGCAACCUACCCAUAACUGGAAGAUAGCCCGGGGAAACUGGGAUUAAUACUUUAUAGCACUAUCGAAUCGCAUGAUUUGAUAUUUAAAACUUCGGUGGUUAAGGAUGAGCAUGCGUCCCAUUAGAUAGUUGGUGAGGUAAUGGCUCACCAAGUCCACGAUGGGUAGGGGGCCUGAGAGGGUUAUCCCCCACACUGGUACUGAGACACGGACCAGACUCCUACGGGAGGCAGCAGUGAGGAAUAUUGGUCAAUGGACGAAAGUCUGAACCAGCCAUGCCGCGUGCAGGAAGAAUGCCCUAUGGGUUGUAAACUGCUUUUAUAUGAGAAGAAUCCUUCCGACGUGUCGGAAGUUGACGGUACCAUAUGAAUAAGCACCGGCUAACUCCGUGCCAGCAGCCGCGGUAAUACGGAGGGUGCAAGCGUUAUCCGGAUUUAUUGGGUUUAAAGGGUCCGUAGGCGGAAUUGUAAGUCAGUGGUGAAAGCCCUCGGCUCAACCGGAAAACUGCCAUUGAAACUGAUAGUCUUGAAUAUGAUUGAAGUGGGCGGAAUAUGGCAUGUAGCGGUGAAAUGCUUAGAUAUGCCAUAGAACACCGAUAGCGAAGGCAGCCCACUAAGCCAUUAUUGACGCUAAGGGACGAAAGCGUGGGGAGCGAACAGGAUUAGAUACCCUGGUAGUCCACGCUGUAAACGAUGAUCACUCGAUAUUGGCGACAAACUGUCAGUGUCUAAGCGAAAGUGAUAAGUGAUCCACCUGGGGAGUACGAUCGCAAGGUUAAAACUCAAAGGAAUUGACGGGGGCCCGCACAAGCGGUGGAGCAUGUGGUUUAAUUCGAUAAUACGCGAGGAACCUUACCAGGGCUUAAAGGCAGAACGACCGCUUGGGAAACCAGGCUUUCUUCGGACGGUUUGCAAGGUGCUGCAUGGUUGUCGUCAGCUCGUGCCGUGAGGUGUCGGGUUAAGUCCCAUAACGAGCGCAACCCCUAUCUUUAGUUGCUAACAGGUUAAGCUGAGGACUCUAGAGAAACUGCCAGCGUAAGCUGCGAGGAAGGUGGGGAUGACGUCAAAUCAUCACGGCCCUUACGUCCUGGGCCACACACGUGCUACAAUGGUCGGUACAGAGGGCAGCUACCCCGCGAGGGGAUGCGAAUCUCGAAAGCCGGUCUCAGUUCGGAUCGAAGUCUGCAACUCGACUUCGUGAAGCUGGAAUCGCUAGUAAUCGCGCAUCAGCCAUGGCGCGGUGAAUACGUUCCCGGGCCUUGUACACACCGCCCGUCAAGCCAUGGAAGUUGGGGGUGCCGCAUGUAUAUGUACCGUAACCUGCUAUGGUGCCUA